GCGCGAGUGGUGAAAUUGGCAGACACGCUAGAUUUAGGCUCUAGUGCCUUCGGCAUAAGGGUUCGAGUCCCUUCCCGCGCACCA
rnacentral:tRNA from 1 species